GAACAUGGCGUAAGAACUUAAACCUGAAAAAGCCCCCCAACCAUCACUUUGUGUGCACGUUUCACUUCAUCGACAAGAAGCUAACACAGGAUAACACAUACCCAACGCUUUUUCCGGUUACGAGGAUGCCACCAGAGAAGAGACGCUGACCAAGGACUCGACAUGUCCCAGAUAAGCCUGAUGUGAUGGAGGUUUCUAUGGAGCCAGGUCCGACUUCACAGACAUUACAGGAUGCCCAAACACAGUGGUCAGACCCAGAAAUAGAGAACCACACCUACUCCAAAGGACCUACUAUCGCAUGGUGGUGUGACAACUGCACCAUCCCCUGAGAGGUUGCUGCCUGUUGCAGAUUUUGCAUUGAAAGAUGAUACAGACUGUUGUACACAAGUAUUCCGCUACUUGCAUUUUAAACACUUGUGUCUUGCUUGCAACGUUGCUUGCAAAUCAUCAGCAUUGCCAACAUUGGACCAAAUCCUGUUGACAUUGAUGAAGCUUAGACAGAACUUUGUUAUAGCAGAUUUA